rnacentral:rRNA from 1 species
UACGGAGGGUGCAAGCGUUAUCCGGAUUCACUGGGUUUAAAGGGUGUGUAGGCGGGCUGUUAAGUCAGUGGUGAAAUCUCCGGGCUCAACCCGGAAACUGCCAUUGAUACUAUCAGUCUUGAAUAUUGUUGAGGUGGGCGGAAUAUGUCAUGUAGCGGUGAAAUGCAUAGAGAUGACAUAGAACACCGAUUGCGAAGGCAGCUCACUAAGCAUGUAUUGACGCUGAGGCACGAAAGCGUGGGGAUCAAACAGG